GGGGGAGAGGGUGGAGUUGUUAAUAGAGAGAUGAAAGUCUGUGACUGUGGAGGUGAGGGAUUUUGGGCCGAUGAUGAGGAGAUCUGUUUUGUUGUAGUUGAGCUUUAGAAGGUUGCUGUCCAUCCAGUGUUUGACAUCAGUGAGGCAGUUUGAGAGGGAGCGUUGGGUCUGGGGGGUGAUGGAGGUGGAAGAGAUGUACAAUUGAAUGUCAUCAGCAUAGCAGUGGAAAUGGAGAUUGUGUUGAC